UACGUAGGCAGCGAGCGUUGUUCGGAGUUACUGGGCGUAAAGGGUGCGUAGGCGGCGCAGUAAGUUGGGUGUGAAAUCCCUCGGCUUAACCGAGGAAUUGCGCCCAAAACUACUGUGCUCGAGGGAGAUAGAGGUGAGCGGAACUUAGGGUGGAGCGGUGAAAUGCGUUGAUAUCCUAAGGAACACCGGUGGCGAAAGCGGCUCACUGGAUCUCUUCUGACGCUGAGGCACGAAAGCUAGGGUAGCAAACGGG
rnacentral:rRNA from 1 species